UCUAACAUUCCACAUUAAAGGUGUCAUUCCAUGCUUAUCUUCCAAGACAUAGUAGUGAUAAAUACAUUCUAUGUUUAUAUUCCAGGAAGUUAUACAUGCUUUUAUUUUGUAGUGUAGGUUUAGGGUAGUAAAUUAAACAUAUGCUUGCACACAGAGAUUUAUUGUUAUUACAAUGUAACGGUGCAUUGGAUUUAAAAUUUUGAAAUUUGUUUAUUAUGAUAAUUUUGUUCCUAUUAAAUAUGCAUUAAUUUCAUCUGUAUGCACAUUUGGCAAGGUCAGCAUCUAGGCCAAAAAUUGAGUGUGUGUAUACUUGCAUGACAUCAUAUACAACUUCCUGUUUUUUUAGGUUUAAUUUUUGUGUGAUGUAUAAUCUUCAUCUGUGAAUUUUGGUUACUUGAUGGGAUGUGCAUUCUAUGUCCUUUAAACAAAACAAAAAGUUAGAUAACCAGGAGGCGAUUUCAUUAACUUUUAAAACGUUAUUCGGUUAAUUCUAAUGUAAGUAAUUUUCCAUAUAACAGCCAUAAAAUUAUGUAGGAUUGAUUUGUUUUGUUUAGUUUUUCUACGCAUAUUUAAGAAUUUUAAGAAAGAACCAAUUUUCAUGACUAUGUCAAAUGUUGUUUAAUGUAUAUUUUACCAGAGACAUUUAAUUCAAUGUAUUUUACAUAAAAUUAGAGAUUAAUGGGUAACUGUAUUAUUCUUUUCUGAUCUAUAUACUAUUUACCCAUGUCAAUUUGUAAUACAUGAUUUCAAAAAUGAAAUGUAUUUAUUUUACAAUUAUUAAUAUGAUAUUCAUAUGUCAUGAAUUAAUAAUAAUUUUGCUUGUUAUACAUUGUAAAUACUACAAAUUUAUUAAAAAAAAUAAUUUUAAUUCACUUAUUAAUCUUAUUGGAGAAUUGAAGAGAUGAAUUAGUUUGGAUAGUUGGCAACUUUUGAAUGUUUGUUAGUACAAUUUAUCCUAUAAGAAGUCAGUUCAUGGUUUCAGUAAUUUAGGUAUUUUUUUAAAUCUUGUAUUGCUUUUUAUUUAUUCUGUAAACAGUUUCUGCCUUUUAAUAAUAGUUUUCACAAAAUAAACAAAAAUGCUAAAAUUGUUAAAACAUGUUUGUUGAUGAACCACAAUAUAAUGAACUGACUCUUAUGAUCAAUCAUGUAAAAGUUUGAAGUAUUGUAAUAGUGUCACCUAGUGAAUGCAACUCCUCUAAGACCAUUUGACAGAGAGCUAUCAUACACAAGGCACUGAAUAUAACAUCUACAUUCUGACUGGAUGUGCAUAUUAAUACAUCCCGCACAGCCAAACAAACAUUUCUUUUUAUGAUAGGUUUUAAUGCCAGAAUUCCAGGGAUGACCAUAUUUCUACACCUCAGUCAAGCUUUGGGGUCACUCACUUGAACGUAUAUGAAAUAUAGGAUUUUCAUAACAACCAAAGUAAUAACAUAUGGUAAAUACCUUCUUGCCCAUAUUUUUCCAUAGUUUGAUUUAGUUUCCUUCAUCUGUUCUUAAAAAGAAAUCAAAACUUAAUUUCUCCUUCUCAUAGCACUUCAUUGUAAACUAUAACCCUGAUGGCGGCUUUUUGAAUUUGGAAGUAACAACACUUGUAACAGACCUUCAUAGAGUAUUCAGUAAAUAUACAUAUAUUAAAAAAACAUCUUGCCUCAUAACUGUGUUUCUGCAUGGGUUGUUUUCACUGCAUCCAUUUUCGAAAAUAACAAAUGAAGUACCCAAAUGGUUUCAAUGUAAACUUUGACCUCUACUGGAAACCAAAUUCAACUUUGAUUUGAAUUUCAAUGAUGAUGGCAGAUCUUGAUUUGUUCCUGUUAAAUUCAUUCACUUUUUAAGACUAGGGGAUUAAAAGCUUGACCUAUUAAUUAGACACCAGUCUAUUGUUUGACUUAUUUGUUGCCCUCCAGAAAUAUUUCGGUUAUUUUUGAUGUUAGGUUCCUGUUUCAUUGACAUAUAUCCAACAUCUCCUUUUACCGGUAAUUAUAUCACCAUAUAUAACACCAGUUAAAGAUGGCAAUUCUUAUUACAUUAAGGCAUGAUCAAAUAGCAGACUAGUAGAUGUCACUAAUCCAACUUCAAGAUAUUACUCAGCAUUCAUCUUUUUUUAACGUAUGAGCAAACACAAAUACCACAAGGUGAGUUAUAAAAUGUACUUGAAAACAAAACAAAAGACAAUCCAAAAGAAACAGCUCCAUUUCAAUGAUCAAGAUAAUUUGGGGAACAUUUGAGAUAAAAAUAAAAAAAUAAUUUAUCCCUGUCAAAUUUUAAUAUACCUGUCCCAAGAUGGCAGCAUUGUCAGUGGUUGUCAAUUAUAAUUAUCGUUUUUUGCUAUUUAGAAUAUUCGGUUUUGAUAAUAAUCUCUGUAAAAUUUAUUUGCAACUUUAAGACUCCCUGCAAUUGCAAGCUUGACACAUUGUAUAGACACUUGCCUAAUGGUGAAGAUUGUAUGUUGAUCUUAAGAUAUGUUUUGGCUUUGUUUGUUGUGGCAUUGAGGUAUUUGUUUCUUGUGGCAUUGAGUAACAGUCUCAUUGAGGUGUUUGUUUGUUGUGGCAUGCAGUUACUUUCUCAUUGAGGUGUUUGUUGUCUUUGAGUUACUCUCUCAUUGAGGUGUUUGUUUGUUGUGGCAUUCAGUUACUUUCUCAUUGAGGUGUUUGUUGUGUCAUUUAGUUACUCUCUCAUUGAGAUGUUUGUUUGUUGUGGCAUUCAGUUACUUUCUCAUUGAGGUGUUUGUUGUGUCAUUUAGUUACUCUCUCAUUGAGGUGUUUGUUUGUUGGUUGUGGCAUUAAGUUACUGUCCCAUUGAGGUGUUUUUUUGUUGUGGCAUUUAGUUAAUGUCUCAUUGGGGUGUUUGUUUUGUUGUGGCAUUUAGUUACUGUCUCAUUGAGGUGUUUGUAUGUUGUGGCAUUUACUGUCUCAUUGAGGUGUUUGUUUUGAUGUGGCAUUUAGUUACCGUCUCAUUCAGGUGUUUGUUUUGUUGUAGCAUUUAGUUACGGUCUCAUUGAGGUGUUUGUUGUGGCAUUUAGUUACUGUCUCAUUGAGUUGUUUGUUUUGUUGUGGCAUUUAGUUACUGUCUCAUUGAGUUGUUUGUUUUGUUGUGGCAUUUAGUUACUGUCUCAUUGAGGUGUUUGUUUUGUUGUGGCAUUUAGUUACUGUCUCAUUGAGGUGUUUGUUGUGGCAUUGAGUUACUGUCUCAUUCAGGUGUUUGUUUGCUGUGGCAUUUAGUUAGUCUCAUUGAGGUGUUUGUUUGUUGUGGCAUUUAGUUACUGUCUCAUUGAGGUGUUUGUUUUGUUGUAGCAUUUAGUUACGGUCUCAUUGAGGUGUUUGUUGUGGCAUUUAGUUACUGUCUCAUUGAGUUGUUUGUUUUGUUGUGGCAUUUAGUUACUGUCUCAUUGAGGUGUUUGAUUGUUGUGGCAUUUAGUUACUGUCUCAUUGAGGUGUUUGUUUUGUUGUGGCAUUUAGUUACUGUCUCAUUCAGGUGUUUGUUUGUUGUGGCAUUUAGUUACUGUCUCAUUCAGGUGUUUGUUUGUUGUGGCAUUUAGUGACAGUCUCAUUCAGGUGUUUGUUUGUUGUGGCAUUUAGUUACGGUCUCAUUCAGGUGUUUGUUUG